UGCGGCGGGGUGGGGGACAAAAGGCGGCGGCACAGCGAGCCCGCCAGAGGGGACCUGCCCGCCCGGUCCCGCCCGGUCCCGCCGCGCCGGCCCAACUCACGGCCCAACCGCUGCUGCCCGGGCCGCUGCCAGCACGUCCAAAAACUCCCGCCACCGCGGACGGCUCCGCGCCGGCCAAUCAGGCGCGGCCUUGCCAAUAUCGCCACGCCCACGACCCGCCUUUUCCGGGCAGAGCGAAGCGUGAUUGGCUGUGCGGCCCCUCCGUUCGGCCGUUCAAGCCCGCUGGCGGUCCUGGCAGCUGGGCUGUGACGCGGCCCGGGUGGGACCGGGUCCGGAAGGCGUGAGAACCUCCCGGGAAUUGGGGAUUGGGGGAACCGGUUCCUGCUAACCUGGAAGGGCGGGCGAGACCCUCUGCUCCACCAUCUGAGAAGCACUGGAAGGAGAAGUCAUCUGCCAACCCUUAAGAGUCCUACUUCCAUCAGAGGGGGUCCCAACUCAGGGGCACUCCCCAGACGCGCCCCGGAGAAGAGCAUCCCCGGAGGAGUCAAAGCCUUUGUAAUGGUCCUAGAAAAGCAAGAGCCGCAAGAUGGAUUUUCACAUGCAUUCAGAGAAAGCUGGGACCAAACAAAUAGUCUAUCUGCCUUAAUUACCAUGUAUAAGAUUGGACAACAGAUGUUCUCCUACAUGUGGUUUGCUAAUUUAUUUCAUUCUUUCUGUCCAUUUACAUGAUUCAUUCUGAAAAUUAGUAUUGAGAAAGUGUAAUCGAAUCUUCUGCUCCUCUUGGUAAACAAAAUCUAAUUUCUCACAUUAAUAUGUCAUCUUUCAAUACCAAAACUUAGAGAAAAUUUGUAUUACAACUACCACCCUACACCAUGCGCAAAUUAAAAACCCACACCAUUUUUUAGCUCCAUACAAAUGUGCCAAGGUGCAUUCUUUUAAGAACAGCAGGGGAAAGCAGACAAACACAGCUGCUACCACACUAUCAUGCUAUAUUUAACAUCUAUAAAAGGUGAUUUGACUUUUACUCACAAAUCCUGGCAAAAUUUGAUCACUACCCCCCCUCCUAUUCGUAUACAUUCACGUCUUCCCUGGAAGUCUGGAAAUUUGCCCACAAUUAUAUUUAAAGCCAUAAUUUAAAUGUGAUUAGUUUUGAAAGAAAUGAAUGACUUAUACUAAAAUUACUCAACAUCAAGCAUGUUCUAGAAAAUCUUUUAGAUCAGCAUCCAUUUUUCUAUUAUGUCUAACUAAUACUAGUAAUACUAAAGUGUCUUGAUCCACUUAAGGAGGAUACCGACUUGGUUUUCCAUUAUAUAGUAUAGCUGACCAUAGGAUAUUUAAAUUGGUUUCAAAUUUUACAUUAAUGUUCUUACUGCUGUCCUGUUACCUUAAUUCAUCUUAGUAUUUUAUGGUGUUAGACAUUACUGUCUGCAUAAUGAUCAUAGAAGCUUUAAAUGUAGCGUCUCAUUUUUCCUUAUUAAUGCUGCUACAAAACUUCACUUCUUCACAAGAAAUGAUCAUAUUAUAUACAUAUUUAGAAAAAGAUAAUUAUAUCAUUGAAUGAUACUGCCUUACAUGGUACUUUAAUUCUCGUGUGGUGUGUAACUUGAUUGUAAGCACCAGAGAAUAUGUACUAAGUUUACCAUUUUUUUAAUUAUAAAAACAAAAUAAAUAUGGUAAUAAAAAAUCCAACAUUACAGAAGAUUAAGACACUAAGCAAAAAUCUCCCAUUCUUUACUCCUAGUUCUAUUUAGCAGAGAUAAACAUAUUUAGCCAUUUUAAUUUCAAGUUCUUCUGGUCAUUACCUCUAUAUUACUGAAUAUUAUACUUAGGCCUUGUUUUCUAAAUUUAUCAGCACUCAACAGUAUCAACUGACUUUAUUAGGAAAGAAAAUUAGCUCCCUUCUACUCCCUCUGCUAUCUCCUACUCUCAAUUUUUGCUAAUCUAAUUUUUAUUUCUGUU
rnacentral:lncRNA from 1 species